rnacentral:misc_RNA from 1 species
UUUCCGUAGGUGAACCUGCGGAAGGAUCAUUAUUGUAUAACCGAGGUGCGAGGGCCUUCGCUGACCCGACGGGACGUGCACGUCCGAGUGCCAUCACACACCUGCAUCUCUCCCUUAUGUGCACCACCGCGUGGGUCGCCCGUCCGCUUGAUCCGAGCGGGGAUUUCGCUUUCGCACAAUUUUCGUAUUCAGUGUAGAAUGUAUUUUUUGUUUUUGUGUUCACGCAAUCAAAAAAACUUUCAACAACGGAUCUCUUGGUUCUCGCUUCGUUGAAGAACC